GAAUAUAAGACAGAGAAAGCCAUGGCUCCUCUCCUGUCUGAGAUCUCAUCCUCCUUUAGUUCCAUCAUUCCAUGCCUACCAAAGCCCAAGAAAACUCCCAGCUGAUGGGAAAUAAAACGACCCAAUCGUCUCCAAUCCCCAGUCUGCACCCGCUCCAGUGGCAUCUCAAGUAACUCCAACCCUUUUUGGUUAAAACCCAUCAAUAAUACCACAUCAAUUAGCUCCGAGACAAGUAGAAGAUGGCGUCCGGCAGCCGGCCGACGCAGUCAUCCGGCGCGAGCAACCUCCGGGGCGGCGGCAGUUCCCAUCCGUCGGAAUCGGUGAGCAAGGCGAUCGCCCAGUAUACCGUGGACGCCCGCCUCCACGCUGUCUUCGAGCAGUCCGGCGAGUCCGGCAAGUCCUUCAAUUACUCCCAGUCGGUGCGCACGGCGACGCCGUCGCAGUCGAUCCCGGAGCAGCAGAUCACGGCGUACCUCUCCAGGAUCCAGCGCGGUGGCCACAUCCAGCCAUUCGGUGCCACCGUCGCCGUCGACGAGCCCUCCUUCCGCCUUCUCGCCUUCUCCGAGAACGCCCCCGACCUCCUCGACCUCCCCCAGUCCGUCCCCUCCCUCGACCCCUUCUCCCCUCACCGCCGCCUCGCCCUCGGCUCCGACGUCCGCUCCCUCUUCACCCCGUCCUCCGCCGUCCUCCUCGACCGCGCCGCCUCCGCCCGCGAGAUCACCCUCCUCAACCCCCUCUGGAUCCACUCCCGCGCCUCUGGCAAGCCCUUCUACGCCAUCCUUCACAGAAUUGAUAUCGGAAUCGUCAUCGAUCUCGAGCCUGCGCGCCCCGAGGACCCUGCCCUCUCCAUCGCCGGCGCCGUACAGUCCCAGAAGCUCGCCGUCCGGGCAAUUUCGAGCCUCCAGUCUCUCCCCGGCGGCGAUAUUAAGCUCCUCUGCGAUACCGUCGUCGACCACGUCCGCCAGCUCACCGGCUACGACCGCGUCAUGGUGUAUAAGUUCCACGAGGACGAGCACGGGGAGGUCGUCGCCGAGAGCCGCCGCGACGACCUCGAGCCCUACCUCGGCCUCCACUACCCGGCCACCGACAUCCCCCAGGCCUCCCGCUUCCUCUUCAAGCAGAACCGCGUCCGGAUGAUCGUCGACUGCAACUCCACCCCCGUCCAGGUGAUUCAAGACGAGAGCUUGAUGCAGCCGCUCUGCCUCGUCGGCUCCACCCUCCGGGCGCCGCACGGCUGCCAUGCUCAGUACAUGGCCAACAUGGGCUCCAUCGCCUCCCUUGCCUUGGCCGUUGUCAUCAACGGCAGCGGCGACGACGACGGCAUAAACCGCAACGCCAUGAAGCUCUGGGGCCUCGUCGUUUGCCACCACACCUCCCCUCGCUCCAUCCCCUUUCCGCUCCGCUAUGCCUGCGAGUUCCUCAUGCAGGCCUUCGGCCUUCAGCUGAACAUGGAGCUCCAAUUGGCAGCGCAAUUAUCCGAGAAGCACAUCCUCAGGACCCAGACCCUGCUCUGCGAUAUGCUCCUCCGCGAAUCGCCUGCCGGAAUCGUCACCCAGAGCCCCAGCAUAAUGGACUUGGUGAAGUGUGACGGAGCUGCCCUCUACUAUCAGGGGAAGUACUGGCCGGUCGGUGUCACUCCAACAGAGGCUCAGAUAAAGGAUAUAGUGGAAUGGCUCUCGGCUUGUCAUGGGGACUCGACGGGGCUGAGCACCGACAGUUUGGCGGAUGCUGGCUAUCCGGGCGCGGCAGCACUCGGGGAUGCUGUCUGUGGGAUGGCUGUUGCCUAUAUCACUCCAAGAGACUUCUUGUUUUGGUUCAGGUCGCACACAGCGAAGGAGGUCAAGUGGGGUGGUGCAAAGCAUCACCCGGAGGACAAGGAUGAUGGGCAGAGGAUGCACCCUCGGUCAUCGUUUAAGGCAUUCUUGGAAGUGGUUAAGAGCAGGAGCUUGCCGUGGGAGAAUGCAGAGAUGGACGCCAUACACUCAUUGCAGCUCAUUCUGAGGGAUUCUUUUCGGGAAGCAGCGGAGGGGACAAGCAAUUCGAAGGCGAUGAUCAAUGGUCAGUUUGGGGACCUGGAGUUGCAAGGGAUAGAUGAGCUCAGCUCGGUUGCGAGGGAGAUGGUAAGGUUGAUAGAAACAGCAACUGCUCCCAUUUUUGCAGUUGAUGCAGAUGGACGUAUCAAUGGCUGGAACACAAAGAUUGCUGAAUUGACAGGGCUCCCUGUGGAGGAAGCUAUGGGCAAAUCACUGGUUAAGGAUCUUGUCUUCAAGGAGUCGGCCGAUGUUGUCGCUAAGCUUCUCUUCCGAGCCUUGAGAGGUGAAGAAGAUAAGAAUGUGGAGCUAAAGCUGAAGACUUUUGCCUUGCAACAAUCGAAGAAUGCUAUUUAUGUCAUAGUAAAUGCUUGUUCUAGUAGAGAUUACACAAACAAUAUCGUAGGUGUCUGUUUUGUUGGCCAGGAUGUUACUGGACAGAAAGUGGUCAUGGAUAAAUUCAUUCAGAUACAAGGUGAUUAUAAGGCUAUCGUACAUAGUCCUAACCCUCUGAUUCCCCCCAUAUUUGCUUCGGAUGAGAACACGUGUUGCUCAGAGUGGAACACAGCAAUGGAAAAGAUUACUGGUUGGUCAAGAGGGGAAAUGAUUGGAAAGCUUCUGGUUGGAGAAGUUUUUGGCAGCUGCUGUCGACUCAAAGGUCCAGAUGCUCUUACAAAAUUCAUGAUUGUCCUUCACAAUGCCAUUGGAGGGCAGGAAACAGACAAAUUCCCGUUUGCAUUCUUUGACAAGGAUGGCAAAUUUGUGCAGGCACUUCUGACAGCAAAUACAAGAAGUAAUAUGGAUGGCCAGAUUAUCGGAGGCUUUUGCUUCUUGCAGAUUGCUAGCCCUGAACUGCAGCAAGCUCUUGAAAUCCAGAGGCAGCAGGAAAAGAAAUGCUAUGCAAGAAUGAAAGAGCUGGCUUAUAUAUACCAAGAGAUAAAAAAUCCACUUAGCGGUAUUCGGUUCACAAACUCACUGUUGGAGAUGACAGACUUAACUGAUGAUCAGAAGCAGUUCCUUGAAACUAGUGCUUCUUGUGAGAGACAGAUGAUGAAGAUCAUAAAGGACGUGAAUCUACAAAGCAUUGAGGAUGGCUCAUUGAUCCUCGACAAAGGUGAAUUUCUGCUUGGAAGCGUUAUAAAUGCUGUUGUUAGCCAAGUGAUGAUUUUGCUGAGAGAAAGAGGUUUACAAUUAAUUCGGGAUAUUCCUGAAGAAAUAAAAAUAAUUUCUGUAUAUGGAGACCAAGUUAGAAUUCAGCAAGUCUUGGCUGAUUUUUUGCUGAAUAUGGUGCGGCAUGCACCAUCUCCAGAUGGGUGGGUGGAGAUCCAAGUGAGGCCAAGUUUGAAGCAGAAUGCUGAUGGAACAGAAGUGGUGCUUUUCCAAUUUAGGAUUGUUUGCCCAGGUGAUGGCCUUCCAGCAGAACUUGUGCAAGAUAUGUUCCAUAACUCCAGCUGGGUGACCCAGGAAGGCCUUGGUCUGAGCAUAUGCAGGAAGAUCCUAAAACUGAUGAAGGGGGAAGUCCAGUAUAUCAGGGAGUCAGAGAGAUGUUACUUCCUCAUCUUCAUGGAGCUUCCCAGUUGUUAUAUUGGUGAAAGCAGGGGGAACUAAUCCAGUCAGAGACAUGGAAUUCUCACUGGACUGAUAUUAUGCUAAGCUGCAGCUCUAGUAAAUGGUGCUUGGUUCUCUGGAGCUAUACUAGAUGAGCUAGGCCCAAAAACUGAGAGACAUCUGAAUAACUGCUUGGAAACUCUCCAGUCACGUUGGGAACUCCAUUAGAUGACUGGGGCACUGUUAAGAUCUUGGAUUCAGGAGAUGCAAGGGUACUAUAUGCUGUUGCUCCUGCAAAAAGGCCCGGCGUGCAGGAAAUAUGUAAGAGAAGAAAUAUAAUGGUGUCUUCUGCUGCUUUUUUUGGCAAAUUAUGUUGCCUUCUGCGGGGAUUAUUCCGGCGACCAAGCAAGUGCGCUUCCAGAUGUAAGUUGGUUAUCUUGCAAUCAAUUAUUACCUUAUUGUUGAAGCAAAUAGGUUCGUAGGUUUCAUGAGGUGGCUGCCCUGAAGUCCUUCCAAGAGGGAUUUGGCAUUGUCCACUUAGUUUAGCUGGAUUAUGCUGUGAGAUGCUUGCAGGUUAGAACAGGGUGCCCUUUCUGUUCCUUCAGCAUUUAUCGGAGCUUUUAAAACUGAAUUGCUAUUCUAUAGUUAGACUAUAUAACAGAAUUGCCCUUCCAUUAAAUUUUCAGAAUCUCACUUUUUACUUGGAAAAAGAAAAAAAAAAACAUUACUGUUAUUCUUUUGCUCUCUAUAUGCAUGCCAUGCACCAUCCAGCUUAUUGUUGAGAUUCACUGUUAAAUUCUAAUUCUAUUAGAAUUUCUAUUUAAGUAUUCAUUAAUUUUAAUAAUUUUAAGUUUUUAUUUUUAAUUUUAUUCUGCUUAGUUAUUCCUUCUAAAAUAAUUAUUUUUAUCCUUCAGUGGUUAACAAGUCUUAUUUUGUAGGAGUCUACUUAGUUAUGUUUUUCCUGUCCUUAAUCACGUGCAUCAUGCAUGUUCGGAACUAGUUACAAGAAAAAUACAGUGUGCUUGGCCAUAUGAAUUGUCUCCAUUAAUAGUAAAUUACGAGCAUCUAAACUAAUCAUAGCCUACUUUCUGCUACUAAGAAUUCACAAAGGGAGAUGCCGGAAUGCAUGAUCCAGGGGACAGGAAUCUUAGGAUAGCUUGCCAGCAGCAGCAAAUAUUAUCUUGAGGACGCAGCACGUAGAAGCGGAACAAACCUGAUUCUGUUUCAGCAUAUGGAUAUCAUCUCCCCAACUACAGAUGGCAAACGUAUGGAUAACACUGAAGAGACGUCUGAAAGCAUAAAGAAUGUAAAUGGACAAGGAGUAUUCUUCUGGACCACCGACUACCCAAGUCCAAGAAGGCAAUGAACAGUUGAACACAAGGAUGAGAAAAUGAUGAAAAACAUCAACAAAAAUAAACAAAGGCAAAAAUAUUGAAUCUUUUUAGGUGAAUUGGAAACUCCUGAAUUGCACUUAGAGAUGGCUUUUGGAAAACCAUAACAUACAACUAUACGAGCCAUGCAGCCUUUCGAGUGGACUAGCAUGGAGAAGGCUUUGAUCGAAGUAUUCAAAUCACAGAAACCACAAAGCCAGAAGCCACGGAUAUGUGCCCUGAUUCGAGCAUGGACAAUAUCAAUUUGAAUAAAAAUUUCUAGAAUAAAAAGUAUUAAGAGUACCAAUUGAAAAUAAUUUUUCUUUGAAACCCAUUUGAAAAUAGAUUUUUUAAAAUUUACUCCACAUAAUUCAUUUUCUGCAUGGAGAUGUCUUGUCAAAGAAUUGAGAAAUUGGCAUCUUGAACCUGAAAUAUAAACUUGCCUGCAAAUUACCACCUCAGUAGGACCAAAACACACUCUGGGAGUCUAUAAAUGAUCGACCUCGCCUUCGCAUUGUGCAACACAAAAUCUUGCUCCUCACAGCACGACUUGAAGCUCAUGAGGAGAUGACUAGCCUUGCUGUCACAAUCCAACUGUCUUUUCAAAUACCUCGUGGCAGAUUCUACAGGAGUACAAGUCAAUAGUAGAAUAAUCACUUUCCAUUUUGUACUGUGCACAUAAUUGGGAUGCACUGUGUAGCACUUACAAGUUGAAUAAAGUAGAUAGCCUGUUGCCAUAGAGCUAAGAGAUAUAUCUAUGAUGUAACUGUUAUUGGUAAAGCUCACACUAAAUGAUUAAAUAGUAUAUAAUGUUUCAUUGAAGUAUAAACAUUAUGCUUUUCCUGCAAAACUUUGGCGUAAGUGAAUUGCCAGAGUGAAAUGCAGUCUUUGCAGGUUAUUUGCAAGAUUUUUAACUUUCAAGAUAUACAAAAUUCAGCAGGGGAUCAAAGUUUGCGUGUUGGUUUUCAAGCAUGUCGGCAAAAUGUUGUCAGGUGAUGCAAGAUCACACUGUGGAAUAGGAUUAACUUAUGUCAGUGUAAUGAUGGCUACUUAUAUCUGUAAACAAAUCUUCUACUCCAUCUAAAGAAUCGAAUCCGCCCUUGUGGUAAUGUUUCUUGUA